CCUCCGUCCUCUGCACACGCAAGGCUCUCAAGAGACUGCACCGGCCCUGGGAAGUUACAGCACACACCCAGGAACGAGAACAUCACGGGGGUCCCCCACCCCACCCUGCACAGGACUGCAGACUAAAUGUGCUAGCUCCUGCGGUCGAGCCCGCCCUACCAGGAUGGCCCGCACCCUGGAACUGUGAGCAAAGCAAACCCUUCGUUCCUUAAGGUGCUCUUGUCAGGAAAGGACACUCACACAGUGCCCAGGCUCCCUGGUCUGCCCAGAGAUCUGUCAAUCCCAACACAAGUGUGAUCUCUUACACGUUGCCGCCACACUGCUGAAUUGAUGGGACUGCCUGAGUGGACUUUCAGUUUCCAACACUACAAGCUAAAUAGAUCUCUUCACUUGAACAAAAAGUUAGCCUGCCUCAGCUAUUUCAUUACAGGAAGAAAAAACAGACUGAAACACAGUGUGUUGAAUGUUCAGAUUCUCGACAACUGGAACCUAGAGGGAUGUGAACGUAUGACUGAAAUGAAUAAAGAUGCACAGAGGGAAAAUAAACAACAGUGAACGAUGGCCCAGGUGUGGGUAGAAAUGUACACCUGGGUAGGGAGAGUGCACGAACAUACUUGGGCAGAGUUCAUGCACACCUGGAUGGGGGACAAUGGUGUUCAUGCAUGAGCAGUCAGGCCCUAAGCCAGGCUUUGACCAUCUGGCUGAGACAAGACUGUCUAAUGGUAUGUCCAGUGUGCCAAGGCUUCCAGCUUUUCAAGUGCCAGAAACCAUGCAUGUAAAAUCGCCUCAUUUUUAAGAUUUUUAUCUAUUCUUUAUGUGUAUUGGUGUUUUGCCUGCAUGUAAGUGCACUUUAUUAGAGGCUAGAAGAGGUAUUAAGACUCCCUGGAACUAGAGUUAAGGAUGGCUGUGAGCCACCAUGUGGGUGCUGGGAACCAAAUCCAGGACCUCAUAUACUGCUGAGCCCCAAAUCUCCUAAUCUCUAAAAUGCUGGCUCCCAUUGAAAAUAAACAUGAGUGGAUAUUAUGACCCUGGUACCUACUGAAACUCUAGUGUCCAGUGCACAUCCCUGGACAGGAUGCACAGUGGCUGAAGAGUGACAAGCAGUAGCCUAGAGGAAAAUGCAGCUUCCCAGGUGGUGCAGACCAUAAGGCCCAGGCUUCCCGGGCUUCCUGGGCUUCCCAGGUGGUGCAGACCGUAAGGCCCUGGCUUCCCAGGCUUCCCAGGCCUCCCGGGGUUCCCGGGCCUCCUUCUCAGCACUGCACUCAGACCCCGCCACCCCUCUAACCUGUCUGCAACAACAUCAGAACAACCAAAUCAAGAGUAAGGGAAGAAGCUUACUGCUAGAACCUGGAUCCACCAAGCAGAUUAACCAGUCCCUCCACAGUGGGAAGACCCGGAAGUGGAUGUCAGGACACCAGAGUCCCACACAGGAACGGCAGACAAGACCACAGUCAGAACACUGCUUUGGAGGAAGAGGGUACCACAUCACCUGGAUGCUCAUCUUUCCUCAGACACUCCUGCUCCUUCCUGGGCCUUCAAGAUAGAAGGCCUUAGGCCUCCACCAAACCAGAUUAUUUUGUUCUCAAAAUCCCUCAGCCAGGCAGUGGUGGCGCAUGCCUUUAGUCUGCACUCGGGAGGCAGAGGCAGGAGGAUCUCUGUGAGUUCGAGGCCAGCCUGGUCUACAGAGUGAGUUCCAGGACAACCAGAGCUGUUACAUGGAGAAACCCUGUCUCAUAGAAAAAUAAAAACAUAAACAAGGUCCCUGACCUCAAACUGCUAGGACUAAUAAGUAGCAGAAGACAAGUGAAUGGAAAAUCUUAAUGCAGCCCUGUGCACUCCAACAGAUGUGGAAUAGGGAGGGUGGAGGGGGCAGGUCCCAAAGGCAGGAGGCAUCUGCUAGAGCAGCGGUUCUCAACACAUAGGUCUCUACCCCAUUGGGGAAGUGGCAUAUCAGAUAUCCUACGUAUCAAACACGAUUCAUAACAGUAGCAAAAUUAUAGUUAUGAAGUAGCAACAAAAUAAUUUUAUGGUUGGGCAUUACCACAACAUGAGGAACUAUAUUAAAGGGUCUCAGCAUUAAGAAGGUUGAGAACCACUGUGCUAGAGGGUCACUGACUUGAAAGGGAAAAACAUCAUUGGGGUAUUUACCAAGCAGAACACACACAUACAUACAUAUAUAUCAAAUACAUAAAAUGUAAAGGAAAAAAGGCAAAUUUGCAGGCUAAUGAAGUAGAUGUGCUUGUUUUUGCAUAAAGAACUAAAUUUUAGCUAAAUAUUUGAUGUUGCAGGACAUAGGGCAUCAUCAGCAUUUUUUGGAUGAUCGAAAUUUUGAUGCCUGAGAAUGCUACUUUACAUAAAUUAAAAUGGCAGAAAUAUGUUUAGGGCAAUUCCAAAAACUGUUGAAAAUUCUGUCCUAAUCCCGAGCCAAAACUCAAUUAGAUGAUGAUGAUGAUGAUGAUGAUGAUGAUGAUGAUGAUGAUGAUGAUUUAAAUAGGGCUUCUUUGUGUAGCCCUGGCUGCCUGGGAACUUACUAUAUAGACCAGGCUGGCUUUGAACUCACGAAGAUCUGCCUCCACACACACCCAGUGCUGAGAUUACCAUGUUUAGCCUCAAUUUUUUUUGCCUCAAUUUUUUUAAAAGACAGAUUCCCUUGUAGAAAAAGCAGUUUUUAAUUUUUAAAAUUACAUUUAUUUCUUUUAUUGGGGAGCAUGCAUAUGCUACUGUGCAUAUUUUCAAGUGGAACUAGUUCUCUCCCACCAUGUGGAGCCUGGGGAUCAAACUCAGCUUACCAGUCUUUGCAGGAAGUACCUUUAGUUACUGAGCCAUCUUCUCACUAGCCCCCAAAUAGCAUUUAAAAAAUAAACACAACAUUCUAGACAGGUGUGGUUGUAUACACCUUCAGUCUCAGCACUCAGAAGUCAGAGGCAGGUGAAUCUCUGGGAGUUUCAGACCGAGCAGGGCUUCAUAGUGAGACACUGUCUCAAAUAAGUAAAUAAAUAAAACAUGGUAACACAGUAUAUACUAACUUGAUACACGAUGAAGAGCAGUAAGUUUGUUUCUAUAAGAGCAAUAACUUUGUAUUUACAGUGAUGCGGCCCCUCCUAACUCACAAUGCUUUCCAAUCUGGGCAGAGGUGACUCAGGAAGCCUUUGUUGGCAUUGCAUGGUUGCAUGGUAUGACUUGGCAUGGGCAAGACCGUGUGCACAUGCCCAGUGUUCAGAACCAAGGCUGCAGUAAUGCUGUACAAUGCAACAUGGGUAAGUGUUGUAGAAACAUCUCAAAGUCACUGUGUGUUUGACUUGGAAUUAAUUUUUGGUCAUAUAUUGAUUGAUGCCUUUUACUGUUGACAAACUUUUCAUGCUCUCCACACUGUUAUGCAAUCCCAUAUGGGGUUGCAAGCCCUAGUUUAAAAAGCUGUGACUUAAGCUGGCCGGCAGUGGUACACACCAUUAAUCCCAGCACUCAGGAGGCAGAGGCAGGGGGAUCUCUGUGAGUUCGAGGACAGCCUGGUCUACAGAGUGAGUUCCAAGACAGGCUCCAAAGCUACAGAGAUACUCUGUCUCGAAACCGCCCCCCCCCCAAAAAAAAAGCUGUGAUUUAGGUACCAGCCCUUCAGGCAGUCAAGGCACCUGUGCUUACCAGAGACUACUCACUCCCUUCUGGCAUCUUUGGCUGCCUGUUCUCAGUGCACACUGAGGAGAUAGGCUAGUGUGGAAGAAGAAGAAGGACGAGGAGGAGGAGGAGGAGGAGGAGAAGAAGAAGAGGAGAAGAAGAAGAAAGAAGAAGAAGAAGAAGAAGAAGAAGAAGAAGAAGAAGAAGAAGAAGAAGAAGAAGAAGAAGAAGAAGAAGGAUGCUCGUGCCCUUGAGCUCCUCCUCAAGCAAGAGACAGCAACCGAAGUAACUGUGCAGCCUUAAGAGCUGAGAGACAGAUGUCAUAGAGGGGGUGGAGCAGCUGACCAACCAGAUGGCCCCUCAAAGCUGGCUUGACCUUAGUCUCCUCAAUGGCCUACUACUCAGAAACACAAAGUUCUAGUCCACAAAGAGUUGAUUUUAACUCAGGGGACUAAUUCAGACUGAACAGACUCAGAGACACCAAUGUCUAAACAACCAGCCAGGCAGUUUACUCAUUUACCUCUUCAGCAACUAUUCAUGUCAGCUUCCCAGUGCCAAAAUGCACAACCCAUGGACAAGGAUUUCAUAAGCACCCAGUGUCCAUUAUUUAACCAACUGUAAGUACCUGAAUGAAGGAAAUAACAGCCAAAUGAGGUGGGGACGGAAAUGGCAGGGGAAAUUAUGCAAUAAGCUUGGCGUCAAACAAGCCGGAGUUUAAAAGCUGUCCACUGUGUAUUAAAGGGCUGUCAUUGCCUGUAAAGUAUGGGUAUAACAACACCUCCUUACCAGAUUAUUAGUCAAUUAAGUGGGGUUCCAUAUAAACUGCCUCGUUAUAUUUUUGUAUUUAAUUGGAAGUGUAUGCCACAUGCUGACCCAGGGAGGCUCUGGGAUCCCAGAGAACUGGUACAAAUGCUAGUUCUGCAAGUUACUGGAAUACAGCCUUGGGAAAGCAGCUUCAUCCCCGACACACACACACUUCAAUUUUCUUGUUUAUAAAAUGGGAAUAAGAAGUCUUCAGUGUAUUUGAAGUCUAGUCAAAGUUCUAAGACAUGGUAAGCAUUUGAUAAUGGUGACUGAGUACUUUUUAGCUGGGUGUGCUAGCGCCUGCUGUAAUUCUACAGUUGAGGCAGUGAGUUGGGGGUCAAGUUGGGCUAUAUGGUGAGAGGGCAUGAAACGUGUUCUUAGAAGUUGUCCAUAAUAACACAGCAGUGGAGCAUACACUAAAAGUUAAAGUUAGAACUAGUGUAAGCUUUUUGUUUUUUGAGACAGGGUUUCUCUGUAUAGCCUUGGCUGUCCUCGAACUCACAGAGCUCCUCCUGCCUCUGCUUCCCCAGUGCUGGGUUUAAAGGCAUUCACCACCACCUCCUGCCGGUACAGCUUUUUUAUUUAUUUACUUGUUUGUUUCUAUGGCUGUCCUGGAACUCACAAUGUAGACUAGCUUAGCCUUUAACAGAGAUCUAUCUGCUAGAGUGCUAGGAUUAAACGUGUCAGCAUAUCAGGCUUUUUAAUGAAAUUUAAAUUAAAGAUCAUGCCAUCAAACAUACAGAAAAGACCACUUUGUAUAGCAUUAUCAAAAAUACUUUUAUGAGACAAGCCUCUUACCUCAGAUUAGUCUCACAUCCUUAUUUUCCGAGAGUUUCUAAAAUAAUGCCAUUUGAGGGCAGCCGAGCAAAAACUCAAUCUGUUUCAAUACUGCUAAGUCAUGAUCAUAAAGCACCGUCUGGGACCUAUCUUUCCACUUUAACGAUGGGGAACCCAGGUAACCAAUAAGCAGUACGCAUUCGGCCUAAAAAUUGUACAACCACGUACUGUGCAAUAACGAAAACUCGUGCAGAAAAUGACACAAAUCUUUCAAUUCUGCAUCGUGUCUUUAUUCUGCCCCAAUGACACUGUCAAUUUCUAAAUGGCUUUAUAAGCCUUAUAAGUCGUGGGAAAAUAACCUUGGUUUUGAGCAAAACAAAAUAGAUCUAUUUUAACCUUACAAAUUCAUCUGGCUUAGAACAAAGGGCAGCCCCUGUUCCGUAAGUGUUGUUUCUCCCCAUCCAGGAAACCACGCAGCUGCUAAGCCAGGUUGCUGCUCUCAGAAGCCUCAAGAAGUUCGAACAGGGCUCUGGUCAAUCUCAGGUAUUUCUACAUUUUAAUUGGUACGAUUUUAAGUCUCAAUAGAAACUUUUUACA